rnacentral:rRNA from 1 species
AGAGGGCUUCGGCCCUUGAGUUAGUGGCGGACGGUGAGUAACGCGUGAGCAACCUGCCUCUGUGUGUGGGAUAACGUUUGGAAACGGACGCUAAUACCGCAUAACGCAUAUUGACCGCAUGAUCGGUAUGCCAAAGAUUUAUUGCGCAGAGAGGGGCUCGCGUCUGAUUAGAUAGUUGGUGAGGUAACGGCCCACCAAGUCGACGAUCGGUAGCCGGACUGAGAGGUUGAACGGCCACAUUGGAACUGAGACACGGUCCAUACUCC